GUGAAUCAUCAAAUCUUUGAACGCAAAUUGCACUCUCUGGUAUUCCGGAGAGUAUGCCUGUUUGAGGGUCAGUUUAAAUAAAAAUCGGUGUGGUUGCUGCCUUUCUUGGUGACGCACCGGGUUUGGGUCGUCUUUCCUUCGGUUAAGUGACGUAGAAUUUUUCAUGAUGUUUUUCGAACGUAUUUAAAUGAUUUUACGUACGUUUGCGAUAUCAAAUACUGGGUGUGGUCUUCCUC
rnacentral:misc_RNA from 1 species